rnacentral:rRNA from 2 species
GGGUGCGAUCAUACCAGCACUAAAGCACCGGAUCCCAUCAGAACUCCGAAGUUAAGCGUGCUUGGGCGAGAGUAGUACUAGGAUGGGUGACUUCCUGGGAAGUCCUCGUGUUGCACUCCU